rnacentral:rRNA from 1 species
UACGAAGGGGGCUAGCGUUGCUCGGAAUUACUGGGCGUAAAGGGCGCGUAGGCGGGCAUUUAAGUCGGGGGUGAAAGCCCAGGGCUCAACCCUGGAAUAGCCUUCGAUACUGGAUGUCUUGAGUUCGGGAGAGGUGAGUGGAACUCCGAGUGUAGAGGUGAAAUUCGUAGAUAUUCGGAAGAACACCAGUGGCGAAGGCGACUCACUGGCCCGAUACUGACGCUGAUGCGCGAAAGCGUGGGGAGCAAACAGG